rnacentral:tmRNA from 1 species
GGGGGUGCACCGGUUUCGACUGGUGCGGUUCGGGAUACAGGCUGCAGGUGGAGCGCUCAUCUCCUGAUUGGGCAAAAAUUUAACUGCCGACUACGACAGUUACGCUCUCGCUGCGUAAGUAGCUGAACGCGGAAACCAGCCCCGCCGCCUUGAGGGGCUGAAUUUCCGUCGCAAUCAAGGCUGGCCAAACGCCGCUUCCGGACAGCGUGAGGUAAGAUAAUUCCGGAAUACAGAGGGGCCGCAUGCCGCGCGGCUAAGCCCCUCUCGACAAUAUAAUGCGCGGCUAAACCUGUAGACGUUUGUGUUUCGCGCAUCAGGACGCGGGUUCGACUCCCGCCACCUCCAAUA